rnacentral:rRNA from 1 species
GAGGAAUAUUGGUCAAUGGCCGAGAGGCUGAACCAGCCAAGUCGCGUGAAGGAAGAAGGAUCUAUGGUUUGUAAACUUCUUUUAUAGGGGAAUAAAGUGGAGGACGUGUCCUUUUUUGUAUGUACCCUAUGAAUAAGCAUCGGCUAACUCCGUGCCAGCAGCCGCGGUAAUACGGAGGAUGCGAGCGUUAUCCGGAUUUAUUGGGUUUAAAGGGUGCGUAGGUGGUGAUUUAAGUCAGCGGUGAAAGUUUGUGGCUCAACCAUAAAAUUGCCGUUGAAACUGGGUUACUUGAGUGUGUUUGAGGUAGGCGGAAUGCGUGGUGUAGCGGUGAAAUGCAUAGAUAUCACGCAGAACUCCGAUUGCGAAGGCAGCUUACUAAACCAUAACUGACACUGAAGCACGAAAGCGUGGGGAUCAAACAGGAUUAGAUACCCUGGUAGUCCACGCAGUAAACGAUGAUUACUAGGAGUUUGCGAUACAAUGUAAGCUCUACAGCGAAAGCGUUAAGUAAUCCACCUGGGGAGUACGCCGGCAACGGUGAAACUCAAAGGAAUUGACGGGGGCCCGCACAAGCGGAGGAACAUGUGGUUUAAUUCGAUGAUACGCGAGGAACCUUACCCGGGUUUGAACGUAGUCUGACCGGAGUGGAAACACUUUUUCUAGCAAUAGCAGAUUACGAGGUGCUGCAUGGUUGUCGUCAGCUCGUGCCGUGAGGUGUCGGCUUAAGUGCCAUAACGAGCGCAACCCUUAUCACUAGUUACUAACAGGUGAAGCUGAGGACUCUGGUGAGACUGCCAGCGUAAGCUGUGAGGAAGGUGGGGAUGACGUCAAAUCAGCACGGCCCUUACAUCCGGGGCGACACACGUGUUACAAUGGCAUGGACAAAGGGCAGCUACCUGGCGACAGGAUGCUAAUCUCCAAACCAUGUCUCAGUUCGGAUCGGAGUCUGCAACUCGACUCCGUGAAGCUGGAUUCGCUAGUAAUCGCGCAUCAGCCAUGGCGCGGUGAAUACGUUCCCG